AUGAGAGAUCUUUUAAAGAGGUGGUUGCGAGCCUGAAGAAAAACCGGGUGGCUAGGGCAUAUUUGGUGCAGGAUUGGAGAAGAUCGGGAAAAGCUAAGGAGCAUGUCAGGAUAUUGUUAUCUCGACUGUUGGAAGUGGGGAGAAUGAAGCUAGAGAGAAAUCUGAGAGUUUUAUUGCUGCAAUGCUCGAGGUGGAAGCUACGUCUGCAAGUGCCAGGCUAACGGUGGGAAUGUUGAGUCCGAGGAAAAGAAUCCAAGAGGAAAAAGCCGAUGAGGUUGGUCUAUCUGCAUACCUUGACGAAAUAGAUUGAUGAAGAGGAUUGUGUGGAACUGUAAGGGAAUGGGACGGCCAGAGUUCAAGAGUAAUUUUAGUUAUCUUUGUGGUUUGGUUAAUUUAGAUUUCUUUUGUUUUGUUGAAACUAAGACUGAAGUGGAUAAGGCCUCUGUUAGUUACCUUAAUAGGUUUUUUGAUCAGUUUUUUGGAUGUAACCCCGACGGGAGGCCUAGAGGUGUUUGUUUGUGUUGGAACUCUGGUGUAAUGAAUAUCAAUGUGCUUUUUGCUUCAUCUAGAU
rnacentral:sRNA from 1 species